GACGAACGCUGGCGGCGUGCCUAAUACAUGCAAGUAGAACGCUGAAGGAGGAGCUUGCUUCUCUGGAUGAGUUGCGAACGGGUGAGUAACGCGUAGGUAACCUGCCUGGUAGCGGGGGAUAACUAUUGGAAACGAUAGCUAAUACCGCAUAACAGUAGAUAUCGCAUGAUAUCUACUUGAAAGGUGCAAUUGCAUCACUACCAGAUGGACCUGCGUUGUAUUAGCUAGUUGGUGAGGUAACGGCUCACCAAGGCGACGAUACAUAGCCGACCUGAGAGGGGGAUCGGCCGAACUGGGACUGAGACACGGCCCAGACUCCUACGGGAGGCAGCAGUAGGGAAUCUUCGGCAAUGGACGGAAGUCUGACCGAGCAACGCCGCGUGAGUGAAGAAGGUUGUCGGAUCGUAAAGCUCUGUUGUAAGAGAAGAACGAGUGUGAGAGUGGAAAGUUCACACUGUGACGGUAUCUGACCAGAAAGGGACGGCUAACUACGUG
rnacentral:rRNA from 1 species